CAUACUGACUGGUGGCAUUACAACAUGGUUUGGCAACAGCCUUGCCCAGGACAGGAAGACACUACAAAGAGUGGUCAAAUCUGCACAGCGUAUUACAAGAACUGCAUUACCAUCCAUUCAGGACCUUUACAGCCAGCGCUGCAGGAGAAAGGCCAAGCGGAUCAUUUCUGACCCUAGUCUCCAGUAUUUCAUUUAUUUAUUCUCUAAGUUGAACGGACAUUGAGCACAAAGAAUUCCAUUACUGAUAAAUGCUGUUUAUGAGUAUAUGAUAAUAAACUUGAACUUGAACUUGAACUAAUGUUCACCUGGAGAAUUCCGCCUGGUUAUAUGAUAUGUCUGAACGUACAGUUACAAUCGCCUGCCUCCAACAGAAACGGAUAUAGAAUUUUGCUUCCGUAGCUUAGCUGGCAUGUAAACGGCCUGUUAGCAUUCUAGCUCUAGCGCCUAAAAGAUAUGAUUUAUUUUGAUUCGCCAGAUUGUGGCUAUAAAAAGCCUUUGGUAAUCGAUGUGUUUACUUAAGCUGACAUUGCGGUUGUUGUGAGAACACUUUUCAUCCCUAAUUGGGAUUUACAAACAGUGGAACCACUAGUGGAGCUUCAGUGGGUGCUGUGGGUGCUGUACACCUAUGGCCACACCCCACAGAUAGCAAAUACAUUCUGAAAUCAGCACUGUAAGCUAGUAUAAUCACUUUGAAAGAUGUGUUCAACACACGACUGAACCAUAUUUGCUGGUGGUACAUUUUUAAUCGAUAGUCCCCUCUAACUAUUUAAAUAUUCAGGUUCCUUUGUUGUCAGCUGUUGACUUUCCUCACCUCCAUCAGGCUCCUUGUGCUCCUUGUGACAACUGAUCUGAACAUCACUUCUGACAAUAGCAGCUAUGUAGCCUGGUGCUGAACACCAAAAUAAUCUUAAGGUAUUAACAAGAAUCAAAUGGUCUGUGUGUAGAACAUCUAUACAGUAUGAUGAUAUAUUGAUUGAAUGCUGCAUAUACCACUAAAACUGAAACAGUAAACAUGUAAACCAUUCUAAAUGCCAAUGCAACAGUGUUAAAUAGUUCCCACCUCCAUCAGCUGUGGGUGCCACAAAAGAUUCUGCUAGAUUCUCUUCAUGCAGUGGAUCUGUGUUAGCUUCAGGCUGCUUUUUGUCUUCUGCCAAAACAUUAUCACAAUAUCAGUUCACCAAUAUAAAUACCAGUUGUCCUCGGCUGAAACAGUGGUUGCUGUGAAUUAGGAAUGCCACCAUGCUCGGACUGGCAUUCAUUUGACUGAUUAGAACAUUUGACCCAGUGGAUAUAAAAGGCUGGCAAUUAUUGGAGACUUGGCCGUUAAUGAAAGUUUAGAAAUGAAUUGAAUUGAGCUGUAUGACAAUAUUAGAAAUAUAAUGGCUCCAUUGCUCUACUGCUAUGUAAAUAUUCAGGUUCCUUUGUUGUCUUACAUACCAGUGUUAUCCUCAAUUCCAUCACGCUCCUUGUGCUCUGAUGACACACAAACAACUGAUCUGAACAUCACUUCUGACAAAAGCAGUUAUGUAGCCUGGUGCUGAACACCAAAAUAAUCUUUAGCUCUUGACAAGAAUCAAAUGGUCUGUGUGUAGAACAUCUAUACAGUAUGAUGAGAUAUUGAUUGAAUGCUGCAUAUACUACUAAAACUGAAACAGCACACACGUAAACCAUUCUGAAUGCCAAUGCAACAGUGUUAAGUAGUUCCCACCUCCAUCAGCUGUGGACCCCGGAUCAUUUUCUGUUAGUUCCUCUUCAUGCACUGCAUCUGUGUUAGCUUCAGGGGGCUUAUUGUCAUCUGCCAAAACAUGAUCACAAUCUCAGUUCACCAAUAUAAAUACCAAUUAUCCUUGGCUGAAACAGUGGUUGCUCUGAAUUAGGAAUGCCACCAUGCUUAGACUGGCAUUCAUUUGACUGAUCAGAACAUUUGACCCAGUGGAUAUAAAAGGCUGGUGAUUAUUGGAGACUUGGCUGUUAUUGAAAGUUCACAAUACAUGAACAAAUUAAUUGAAAUGAGCUGUAUGGCAAUAUCAAAAUAUAGUUCCUCUUAGGGUGGUAGUGGAAUAGAGCUACAUUUUCACAUAAUUAUUUACCAGUUACACUCGGCAUCAGUGGAACAGCUUCAGGGCUCUUAUGUUCUCCUGAAGGCACCGGGGGAGUCACUGGGAGACACCAAUGUCAUGGUUACACAUUAACAACAUGAUCAUAUUGAUAAAGGUAUUCAGAGGAAUCAGCAGAAUCUGUAUGAUAAAAUCUUAAUUAAAAAACUGCACAUAGUACUGAUUAGAAACACACAGAACAUUCCAUGUAUGAAGGUGACAGUAUUGGGUGGCCCUCUUGGUAAGCUUGAGCCCAUUGUUAAUAUUCGUGAAUGAUAUAGAAACUAUAGACCCACUGUGAGUCUAGUAGCAGAGCUAAGAGCCCUCUCUUUCUCUCAGUUUUAUCAAAGUUUCUUUCAACGGGUGAAGCAAAACUGUACAUCGGCUACUGGCACUGGGCUCUGUAAAGCGCCUUGAGACAAUUUUAUUGUUUUGGCGCUAUAUAAAAAUAAAAUAAAAUGAAAUAAAAAAUAAAUUGCAUUGAAUUUAGUUACUCGUUAAGCUACUUAAUGCAUGGGCAGCUACUGGAAAAAUACGGACCCUCUCCAUCAUUAUGGUCAGCUAAGGUUAAUCAGAAGGUAUAAUACAGAAAUGACUUGCGUAAUUUACAAGCAGACAAACCAUGUCUCUGAACAGUAACUCAUCUAUGUUAUUCAUUCCAACUGUAUUUCAUAGGCAUCUGGUUAGCCUGCACAAUACUAUACUGUGGUUAAAUAGUGACAGCAUUUCACUAAAAGCAUCAGAUCUGCUAGCCAUAGCCUUAAACAACCAAUCAGGAUUAAAUAACUUAUACCAUGGAUUUGCGAUAUUAUUACUAUGUAAAUAUUCAGGUUCCUUUGUUGUCUUACAUACCAGUGUUUGUCAUUUCUUGUUUUUCCUCAUCUCCAUGCUUCUUGCGCUCUGAUGACAUACAAACAACUGAUCUGAACAUCACUUCUGACAAUAGCAGUUACGUAUAUAGCCUAGCCCUAGUGCCAAACACAUGUAUGUAACAUGUAAAAUACUGAUUAGAAGCAAUGUACAUACACAGAACAUUCUACGUAUGAAUGCAACAGUAUUGGGUGGCCCUCUUGGUAAGCUUGAGCCCGUUGUUAAUAUUAAUUUCCUACAUAUCAUUAUCUCUGUUGAAUACAAUCUCAGCCGUAGGACAUUCUUUUUUGUGAAAUGUGUCAUGAUAACCUUGAGUAACAAAUAAUCAUUGUCUCAGAUACACUAUACGGAUAUCAUGUAGGAUCAAAUGCCAAAUGUCAUUCUUUUUUUUGAAAUGUGUCAUGAUAAUCUAAUUGAGUAACAAAUCAUUGUCGUUGUCUCAGAUACACUAUACGGAUAUCAUGUAGGGUCAAAUGCCAAAUGUCACCCUUUUGAGUUCAAAAUGUAUAAGAAAUAAUUAAAUGGAAACACAAUAUCAGGCUUAUCGUUGUAUAACAAUUUUUAACAGUUGUGCUUGUUUGUAACAUAUCAUACAAGACUCUGCACACUACACAUGUACUAGGGGUGGGGGAAAAAUCGAUUUUUCGAUUUCUCUCGAUUCUCUCUAGAACGAUUCUGUCUCGAUUCAGAAAAGUUCAUAAUCGAUUUUUUAAUAA
ensembl:lncRNA